rnacentral:rRNA from 1 species
AUUGAACGCUGGCGGCAGGCCUAACACAUGCAAGUCGAGCGGAGCGGCGGACGGGGGAGUAAUGCCUAGGACUCUGCCUGGUCGUGGGGGAUAACGUUCGGUAACGGGCGCUAAUACCGCAUACUAUCAGAUGAGCCUAGGUCGGGUUAGCUAGUUGGUGGGGUAAAGGCCUACCAAGGCGACGAUCCGUAACUGGUCUGAGAGGAUGAUCAGUCACACUGGAACUGAGACACGGUCCAGACUCCUACGGGAGGCAGCAGUGGGGAAUAUUGGACAAUGGGCGAAAGCCUGAUACAGCCAUGCCGCGUGUGUGAAGAAGGUCUUCGGAUUGUAAAGCACUUUAAGUUGGGAGGCGUUACCAGCAGAAUAAGCACCGGCUAACUUCGUGCCAGCAGCCGCGGUAAUUC